rnacentral:rRNA from 1 species
GCACGUAGUUAGCCGGGGUCUUCCUCCUCAGUACCGUCAUUAUCUUCCUUGAGGACAGAGCUUUACGACCCGAAGGCCUUCAUCGCUCACGCGGCGUUGCUGCAUCAGGCUUUCGCCCAUUGUGCAAUAUUCCCCA